UUGUGUGCACAUAGGAAUUGAGCAGAGUACAGCAUAUAGAAAACCAGUGGCUUCCUUUCACUGCUACGAGGCUUGAAAGGCAGACUAAAAAGCUUUCUCCUUUUGUAAUCACCAAUUGCUGAAACAGAGCACAAAUACUACAAAUACAGUGGCAAACUUGCAGAAUUACAUUCCUGCUAAUCUACACAUGAACUGUGAAAACAUGAGGGUUACCCCAAAAGUAAUGGCAAGGUCUUAGAGAAAAGAAGAGGUACCUGAAGACUGGAGGAUAGCCCGUGUCAAUACAGAAAGGGCAAGGAGGAGGAUCUGGAAAACUACAGGCCAGUCAGUCUCACCUCCAUUCCUGGGAAAGUGACAGAACAGCUUGUUCUG